rnacentral:rRNA from 1 species
UGCAGUCGAACGGUAGCAGGAAGUGCUUGCACUUCGCUGACGAGUGGCGGACGGGUGAGUAAUGCUUGGGAACUUGCCUUUAGGUGGGGGAUAACAGUUGGAAACGACUGCUAAUACCGCAUAAUGUCUACGGACCAAAGGGGGCUUCGGCUCUCGCCUUGAGAGAGGCCCAAGUGAGAUUAGCUAGUUGGUGGGGUAAAGGCCUACCAAGGCAACGAUCUCUAGCUGUUCUGAGAGGAAGAUCAGCCACACUGGGACUGAGACACGGCCCAGACUCCUACGGGAGGCAGCAGUGGGGAAUAUUGCACAAUGGGGGAAACCCUGAUGCAGCCAUGCCGCGUGUGUGAAGAAGGCCUUCGGGUUGUAAAGCACUUUCAGUUGUGAGGAAAGGUUGGUAGUUAAUACCUGCCAGCUGUGACGUUAACAACAGAAGAAGCACCGGCUAACUCCGUGCCAGCAGCCGCGGUAAUACGGAGGGUGCGAGCGUUAAUCGGAAUUACUGGGCGUAAAGCGCACGCAGGCGGCUUGUUAAGCUAGAGGUGAAAGCCCCGCGCUCAACGUGGGAACUGCCUUUAGAACUGGCAGGCUAGAGUCUUGGAGAGGGGAGUGGAAUUCCAGGUGUAGCGGUGAAAUGCGUAGAUAUCUGGAGGAACAUCAGUGGCGAAGGCGGCUCCCUGGCCAAAGACUGACGCUCAUGUGCGAAAGUGUGGGUAGCGAACAGGAUUAGAUACCCUGGUAGUCCACACCGUAAACGCUGUCUACUAGCUGUUUGUGUAUUUAAUACGUGAGUA